rnacentral:rRNA from 1 species
UACGGGGGGUGCAAGCGUUACUCGGAAUCACUGGGCGUAAAGAGCGUGUAGGUUGAUAUAAAAGUCAUAAAUUAAAUACUGUAGCUUAACUAUAGAAAUGUUUAUGAAACUAUAUAUCUAGAAUCUAGAGGGGGUAGAUGGAAUUUCUUGUGUAGGGGUAAAAUCCGUAGAUAUGAGAAGGAAUACCAAAAGUGAAGACGAUCUACAAAUAUAGAAUUGACACUGAGACGCGAGAGCUUGGGGAGCAAACAGG